rnacentral:lncRNA from 1 species
CUGAGGGUUUUAAAGAAAGAUUAUACUCGUGAAAUUUAGGGAAAGAUGGUAUGAAUCUGAAGUUCUUGGCACAGCAGAGACAAAAAACAGUGAUCCUCAGAGAACGAUGCAUGGCUCCCAUGUGGAUGAAGGUUCCUGAGCCCUGCGGAAGAACCAGCUCUUGGAAGAACCAAAAGGGCACUGCUAUAACCCAGUCCUGCUGCAACACUGUGUCAGGACACAGACUCCAAGAACUGCGUCAUAAGUAGCAAGGGCAGGAUUCCGUGAAAGUGAGACGA